rnacentral:lncRNA from 1 species
AUGAUGUUUGCACUUCCCUUCAAGGCACCGAGGCAGCGAGACUCUGAGGAUGAUGCCCAGAGGGAGAGUUUGGAUGAGGUCCAAGAGGAAAGAAAGCUGAAGCCUUUUUGGGCAGGUGUAACCCAUGUCCCUGUAUGCGUCCCAGGGGUCAUCCUCAAAUACUGCCGUGGUCUUGGUGCCCAGAGUCUUCUUAGCAGGUGGGACUCUCCUGUCUUCACCAGUCUGUUGGGAUCAGCUCAGCCAGCCUGGUUAAAGGGUGUGGCCCUUCCAGAUGAGGAGUUCAACAAGACUACAUGGUAG